AUUGAACGCUGGCGGCAUGCCUUACACAUGCAAGUCGAACGGUAACAGGUCUUCGGAUGCUGACGAGUGGCGAACGGGUGAGUAAUACAUCGGAACGUGCCUAGUAGUGGGGGAUAACUACUCGAAAGAGUGGCUAAUACCGCAUGAGAUCUACGGAUGAAAGCAGGGGAUCGCAAGACCUUGUGCUACUAGAGCGGCCGAUGGCAGAUUAGGUAGUUGGUGGGAUAAAAGCUUACCAAGCCGACGAUCUGUAGCUGGUCUGAGAGGACGAUCAGCCACACUGGGACUGAGACACGGCCCAGACUCCUACGGGAGGCAGCAGUGGGGAAUUUUGGACAAUGGGCGAAAGCCUGAUCCAGCAAUGCCGCGUGCAGGAUGAAGGCCUUCGGGUUGUGAACAGCUUUUGUACGGAACGAAAAGCCCCGGGUUAAUACCCUGGGGUCAUGACGGUACCGUAAGAAUAAGCACCGGCUAACUACGUGCCAGCCGCCGCAGUAA
rnacentral:rRNA from 1 species